rnacentral:lncRNA from 1 species
UUUUGCCACAAAUAAUGCAAACUGCCAGUCACGUUAGGUUUUCUGUGCAUCUUCUUGGACUAAUGUGAAAGUCGUGUCAGCGUAAGAAGCCAAGACGUAACAGAAAUGCUUUUGCAGUUAAAGUUGCUGACUAAAUUAAGUGGGCUGCUAUUUUGGGGGUAGAUAGUUCUUUUGAUAGGCAUGACAGGGCAGAGAUCCCUUAACACCGUAUUGCAAAGCAUCGCUCUCCUUACAAAAGGAUGUUGAAGGUGUAGGUCCCACUGAGCUGGGUGACUCUUGCUUUGCAAUCUGGGAGUAAAAAUAAGUUUUAUCUCAUAUUUAUCUCAUAUCCUUGUGGAAGCUUGUCUAUCCCAAGGUGCAGUGCAAUCUCAUGAGGAUACAGUUCUGCAUAUACUUCUCAAAUGCAGUUCCUGUGUUACCAGACUCCAGCACAAACCCUCUCUUCCUGCUUGCUCCUCAUCCCCUUAGUGGAUUUCCCUUUUUCCCAUUGAAGCUUGCUCUUUCAUAAGCUUUCAAGCUAUGCUGGAGAAGUUUGCCCGAAAGGAUAGAUCAUUCUUAAACACACCUCUCUACUUAAGAGGAUCUUUGCAUAAAUACAACACAGGAAUUGCCAUCUGUUCAUGACUUUCACUUGCAUCAUGAACCAGGAAUAUUAUUUCAGCCAAAUGGUUACAUCUUUGCUGCUUAUGUUCUAGGAUGAGCUGCAAAGAUGGAGUGGCAAACAGAUGCAGCAGUCUGCAUGUGGAGCCCAUCUGAUUUUUUGGGGGACUAUUACAUUUAAUCCCAGGACUAAGCUCUCUGAAGGUUGGUGUUACAAUGCCAGGCUCAUGUUGUGCAUUGCUCCUGCAGCAUGGAAGCGGUUGGAGCUGUGCAAGACGCAGAAAAGCCCAGUCCUCCCGAGGGAUGUAUGCAAAGAGGAAUGUAUAUUGUAGUCAGUGUGAGGGGUUCAAGUAAGGGGACAGCAGCUGCCUAGCCUGCUGGGUUUUUCCCUAAAACCUAUUUUCCAAAUUUAGGUCCUUUGUGAGAUCCCAGUGCUUCAGCUCUGAGCUCUGAAAUGUUUGCCUCAGCACAAGUAAGAAGUACCAGGAAUGCUGCCUUUUUUUCAAUUUUCU